rnacentral:rRNA from 1 species
CCUACGGGUGGCAGCAGUGGGGAAUAUUGCGCAAUGGGCGAAAGCCUGACGCAGCGACGCCGCGUGAGGGAUGAAGGUCUUCGGAUCGUAAACCUCUGUCAGCAGGGAAGAACGGUCACUGUGCUAAUCAGCAGUGAAUUGACGGUACCUGCAAAGGAAGCACCGGCUAACUCCGUGCCAGCAGCCGCGGUAAUACGUAGGUGGCAAGCGUUAUCCGGAAUGACUGGGCGUAAAGGGUGCGUAGGUGGUUUAGUAAGUUGGCGGUGUAAUUCCGGGGCUCAACCUCGGCGCUACCGCCAAAACUAUUAGACUAGAGUGCAGGAGGGGUAAGUGGAAUUCCUAGUGUAGCGGUGGAAUGCGUAGAUAUUAGGAGGAACAUCAGGGGCGAAGGCGACUUACUGGACUGUAACUGACACUGAGGCACGAAAGCGUGGGGAGCAAACAGGAUUAGAUACCCCAGUAGUC